GUGCACGACGCCAGAGACAUUUACAUGUAUCGCAUGUCUGAGAUUAUACACAGCGCUAUAAAGAAGAUAAAGAUGUUAUUGGUAAACAUGGAGCUGGAGCCCAGAAUAGAGCUAUCCAUGGAGGACAUCACAGCUGCUGAGAUGGCCCCCAGACCUGGACGUAGCAAAAACCGCCAUUGUCAGAUUGUCAAAACACCAAUAUAAACUUGUGCAUAUGUUGUACAUCAACAAUAUUUUCUCUUUUAAAAACACACCAUACCUAUAAUGGCUACCCAGCUAGGCGUGAACUCGUGUAGAACAUAGGGCAGUGUCAUGCUGGACUGGUUUAGUGCCAUGGGGGAGGAUCCUAGUGUGGUGUUAGUCCAGUCUAAAAGGAAAAAAAAUGAAAUAUCAGUCCCAAAGUGUUACAGUGGCCUCACAGUAUAAGAAUGCACAGGACAAUACUCUAUAUAACUGACACCAAGCUUAUGGUUGGUUGGUAUUUUGAUAUAGGCCUAUACAUAACCAUGUGCUCAUCUGAAAUACAGCUCCUAUAAUCAUUAAAUUAAUCUGACAGUGUCUCUAUUUUCAGCUUCAUGCACUGCCUGAACUAAGUUCUCUAAUUUUGCCAAGAUAAGAUCAUUGUACUGUCAAAAAGCUAAAACUGGACUGUAGGAAAUUUUCACUUAUUGUCUUCACAAGCCAUAUAUAUACACAAGACAUUUUCUAUACCAGUGAAAUUACCAAAUUGAAAUCUCUUUCUAUUCUGUCCAAAAAUUGUAUCUUUCAAAAAUCACAUCAUUGUUCUUAGAAACUGUGCUAAAUGUAUGACUCUAAUUCAUAAUCCUUUGCAAUUUUAUUCUUUGUAUUGGUUCCUUUAUAACUUCCUCAUCAUUUCUACUUUUAGUUUUGAAAAAUGGCCUUCCUCUGGCACAUACCGGAAUUUAACAAAUUGUAGUUAUAUCUCAAUACAAUAUACAUGUAUAUUCCCCAUCAUCUCUAAACUCGUAAGAUUUGUAGGUGUCCCUGUGACAUUAGUCCCACCACAUCCUUAGGGAUAUUUGCAUCUACGCAAUCAACUUUCUGCAGAAACUGUGCAUGGACUAAUUUCUGAACAGUAACUGUUGAACAGUUGAAUUUGCAAAUAAUAUGAUGAAAAAUGAUAUCCUUUAGCUUCAGUAA